GUUUGUUGGUGAGGUAAUGGCUCACCAAGACGACGACGGGUAGCCGGCCUGAGAGGGCGACCGGCCACACUGGGACUGAGACACGGCCCAGACUCCUACGGGAGGCAGCAGUGGGGAAUAUUGCACAAUGGGGGAAACCCUGAUGCAGCGACGCAGCGUGCGGGAUGACGGCCUUCGGGUUGUAAACCGCUUUCAGCAGGGAAGAAGCCUUUCGGGGUGACGGUACCUGCAGAAGAAGUACCGGCUAACUACGUGCCAGCAGCCGCGGUAAUACGUAGGGUACAAGCGUUGUCCGGAAUUAUUGGGCGUAAAGAGCUCGUAGGUGGUUGGUUACGUCUGCUGUGGAAACGCAACGCUUAACGUUGCGCGUGCAGUGGGUACGGGCUGACUAGAGUGCAGUAGGGGAGUCUGGAAUUCCUGGUGUAGCGGUGAAAUGCGCAGAUAUCAGGAGGAACACCGGUGGCGAAGGCGGGACUCUGGGCUGUAACUGACACUGAGGAGCGAAAGCAUGGGGAGCGAACAGGAUUAGAUACCCUGGUAGUCCAUGCCGUAAACGUUGGGCACUAGGUGUGGGGGACAUUCCACGUUCUCCGCGCCGUAGCUAACGCAUUAAGCGCCCCGCCUGGGGAGUACGGUCGCAAGGCUAAAACUCAAAGGAAUUGACGGGGGCCCGCACAAGCGGCGGAGCAUGCGGAUUAAUUCGAUGCAACGCGAAGAACCUUACCAAGGCUUGACAUACACCAGACCGUUCUGGAAACAGUUCCUCCCCUUUGGGGUUGGUUUACAGGUGGUGCAUGGUUGUCGUCAGCUCGUGUCGUGAGAUGUUGGGUUAAGUCCCGCAACGAGCGCAACCCUCGUUCUAUGUUGCCAGCACGUGAUGGUGGGAACUCAUAGGAGACUGCCGGGGUCAACUCGGAGGAAGGUGGGGAUGACGUCAAAUCAUCAUGCCCUUUAUGUCUUGGGCUUCACGCAUGCUACAAUGGCUGGUACAGAGAGAUGCGAGACCGCGAGGUUUUAGCGAAUCCCUUAAAGCCAGUCUCAGUUCGGAUCGUAGUCUGCAAUUCGACUACGUGAAGUCGGAGUCGCUAGUAAUCGCAGAUCAGCA
rnacentral:rRNA from 1 species